UACGUAGGGUGCGAGCGUUGUCCGGAAUUAUUGGGCGUAAAGAGCUUGUAGGCGGUUUGUCGCGUCUGCCGUGAAAAUUCGAGGCUCAACCUCGGACUUGCAGUGGGUACGGGCAGACUAGAGUGUGGUAGGGGAGACUGGAAUUCCUGGUGUAGCGGUGAAAUGCGCAGAUAUCAGGAAGAACACCCGUGGCGAAGGCGGCUCUCUGGGACGGUACUGACGCUGAGACGCGAAAGCGUGGGGAGCGAACAGG
rnacentral:rRNA from 1 species